rnacentral:lncRNA from 1 species
UGAAUAUGUUAAAAAAAAUGUGUUUAGGGGGGUUUAGGCUUUGAAGAUAUGGGGCUUGGAGAAACUCUAGAGCUCACAGACCCCACACCAGACAAAUUAAAAGAAAAUGACUUGAUGGAGAUUAGUGCUUCCAAACCAGUGCCAGACAAUGAAGAAGAAGACAUAGAAACAGGGCCAGAAAAGAAAUUGACAUAAGGCAAUCUGGCAGAAAGGUUCCAAUGAUUCAAGAUUGCAUUUGACUUCUUUUAUGACAUUGCCCUUUCUAUGAUAUGGCCAGUGAAACUAAAGCAAAUAAUGGAAGAAGAAUCGGUACUGUAUAGAAAAACUCCUAGAGAAAUGAAAAAGUGAAAAAUUCAGAAAGAAAUUAUGACAUAUUUCUGUAAAUGUACACAGAGUGUGCCUGCAUCUCCUGCCUCCCCUUCUGCCUCUUCCACCUUUCCACCUCUGCCCCUCCUGACACAGCAAGACCAGACCUUCUUGUUUUUCCUCCUCGUCAGCCUACUCAAGAUCAUGUUGUUCUUCUGCUAAGAAUUCUCCAAUGACUUCCAUCUCAGUAAAGCAGUACAAAACAAGCAGACACCCAUGGCCUUUCCAUGUCUAAGGCAAAUGACAGAAAUUGAGGCUCAGGUUUAAUAAUUUGCUGAAGUCUACACAGUAAGUAUUGAAACAAAAUGAGUUUAACUUGUGCUUCUUUAUGACCUAAUUUUAAAAUAUUUAGAUAUAACUUACAUGCCACAACAUUUACCCUUUAAAAGUGUACAAUUCACUAGUUUUUACUGUAUUCACAAAGUUGUAAAUUUAUCACAACUGAUAUGACUAGGCUUUGUGUCCCCACCCAAAUGUCAUCUUGAAUUGUGAUUCAAAUCAGGACUUGAGCCCUGUGUCACAGCUGCUCCAGCUAUGGCUAAAAGGGGCCAAGGUACAGCUCAGGCCAUUGCUUCAGAGGGUGCAAGCCCUAAGCCUUGGCAGUUUUCACGUGUUGUUGGUUCUGUGGGUGCAUGGAAGACAAUAAUUGAGGUUUGGAACCUCCACCUAAAUUUCAGAGGAUGUAUGGAAAUGUCUGGAUGUCCAGGCACAGGUGUGCUGCAGGGGCAGAGCCCUAAUUGAGAAACUCUGCUAGGGCACUGCAGAAGGGAAAUAUGGGGUGGAAGCCCCCACACAGAGUCAUCACUGGGUCACUGAUUAGUGAAGCUAUGAGAAGAAGGCCACCAUCCUCCAGACCCCAGAAUGGUAGAUCCACUGACAGCUUGCACCAUACGCCUGGAAAAGCCAUAGACAUUCAAUGCCAGACCAUGAAAGCAGCCAGGAGGGGGGCUGUACCCUGCAAAGCCACAGGAAUGGAGCUGCCCAAGGCACUGGGAGCCCACCUCUUGCAUCAGCAUGACCUGAAUGUGAGACACGGAGCCAAAGGAGAUCAUUUUGGAGCUUUGAGAUUUCACUGCCCUACUGGAUUUCAGACUUUCAUGGGGCCUGUAGUGCCUGCACUUUGGCCAAUUUAUGACACUUGGAAAAGAGUGUCCAAUGUCCUUACCCCUGUUGUAUCUAGGAAGUAAUUAACUUGCUUUUGAUUUUAUAGGCUUGUAGGUGAAAGAAACUUGUUUUAUCUCAUAUGAGACUUUGGAAUUGGACUUUUGAGUUAAUGCUGCAAUAAAUAAAGUCUUUGGGGGACUGCUGGGAAGGCAUGAUUGGUUUUGAAAUGUGAAAGGGCCAUGAGAUUUGGGAGAGGCUGGGGGUGAAAUAACGUGGUUAGGGUUUGUCCUCCCACCCAACUCUCAUCUUGAAUUGUAAUCCACAUAAUCUCCAUGUGUCAAAGGAGAGGCCAAGUGGAGAUAAUUGAAUCACAGGGGUGGUCUCCACCAUGCUGUUCUCUUGAUAGUCAGUUUUAUAAGGGAGUCUUGUUUCAUAAGGGGCUCUUCACCAUUUUCUCAGCUCUUCUCCUUCCUGCUGCCUUGUGAUGAAAGUGCCUUGCUUUCCCCUCAUCUUCUGCCAUGAUUGUAAGUUUCCUGAGGUCUCCCCAGCCAUGUUGAAUUGUGAAUCAAUUAAAUCUCCU